AAGUUCAGGGAUCGCCCCCCGUCAGCGAGUUUCGCCCACGGGGGACAAUUGC
rnacentral:sRNA from 1 species